GAUGAACGCUGGCGGCGUGCCUAAUACAUGCAAGUCGAGCGAACGGACGAGAAGCUUGCUUCUCUGAUGUUAGCGGCGGACGGGUGAGUAACACGUGGAUAACCUACCUAUAAGACUGGGAUAACUUCGGGAAACCGGAGCUAAUACCGGAUAAUAUUUUGAACCGCAUGGUUCAAAAGUGAAAGACGGUCUUGCUGUCACUUAUAGAUGGAUCCGCGCUGCAUUAGCUAGUUGGUAAGGUAACGGCUUACCAAGGCAACGAUGCAUAGCCGACCUGAGAGGGUGAUCGGCCACACUGGAACUGAGACACGGUCCAGACUCCUACGGGAGGCAGCAGUAGGGAAUCUUCCGCAAUGGGCGAAAGCCUGACGGAGCAACGCCGCGUGAGUGAUGAAGGUCUUCGGAUCGUAAAACUCUGUUAUUAGGGAAGAACAUAUGUGUAAGUAACUGUGCACAUCUUGACGGUACCUAAUCAGAAAGCCACGGCUAACUACGUGCCAGCAGCCGCGGUAAUACGUAGGUGGCAAGCGUUAUCCGGAAUUAUUGGGCGUAAAGCGCGCGUAGGCGGUUUUUUAAGUCUGAUGUGAAAGCCCACGGCUCAACCGUGGAGGGUCAUUGGAAACUGGAAAACUUGAGUGCAGAAGAGGAAAGUGGAAUUCCAUGUGUAGCGGUGAAAUGCGCAGAGAUAUGGAGGAACACCAGUGGCGAAGGCGACUUUCUGGUCUGUAACUGACGCUGAUGUGCGAAAGCGUGGGGAUCAAACAGGAUAGAUACCCUGGUAGUCCACGCCGUAAACGAUGAGUGCUAAGUGUUAGGGGGUUUCCGCCCCUUAGUGCUGCAGCUAACGCAUUAAGCACUCCGCCUGGGGAGUACGACCGCAAGGUUGAAACUCAAAGGAAUUGACGGGGACCCGCACAAGCGGUGGAGCAUGUGGUUUAAUUCGAAGCAACGCGAAGAACCUUACCAAAUCUUGACAUCCUUUGACAACUCUAGAGAUAGAGCCUUCCCCUUCGGGGGACAAAGUGACAGGUGGUGCAUGGUUGUCGUCAGCUCGUGUCGUGAGAUGUUGGGUUAAGUCCCGCAACGAGCGCAACCCUUAAGCUUAGUUGCCAUCAUUAAGUUGGGCACUCUAAGUUGACUGCCGGUGACAAACCGGAGGAAGGUGGGGAUGACGUCAAAUCAUCAUGCCCCUUAUGAUUUGGGCUACACACGUGCUACAAUGGACAAUACAAAGGGCAGCGAAACCGCGAGGUCAAGCAAAUCCCAUAAAGUUGUUCUCAGUUCGGAUUGUAGUCUGCAACUCGACUACAUGAAGCUGGAAUCGCUAGUAAUCGUAGAUCAGCAUGCUACGGUGAAUACGUUCCCGGGUCU
rnacentral:rRNA from 1 species